CUUGUGAGGGCUAUAUUGAUGCACCCCAACUCCCUCUAUGGGGUGGUGUCAGAAAAGACCAACUGGGGAGGACUGGGGAGGACUUGCAUCCUCACUGGGGAGAAAUGAAGGCACCCCCCACCCCUGCCCAACCACCACCAAGGCAUCCCUAGAGACCAUGUGGGAGCCUGAACUCCCACCCCAUCCACCAAUUCAGUCAUCCCUACCCCUUUUCACCUCUACUUUUUUGCUGGGGUGGUGUCAGAUGAAGCCUACUAGAAAGUCAGGACUUACACUAUCUCUCACAGGUAAUAAGGCCAUCUACUGACUCUUUGCAGUGUCAGUGGGUCAGCCUCUUCCCAGCCAGGGUGGUAUCAGUGGCCCCC
rnacentral:lncRNA from 1 species